CGAGGAGCCACUGCUAGAUCUUUAUCAGAGAACGCACCAAAGGCGAUCGGAGGAGUGGUGCGACGGUGCGUAGAGCUAACAUGCAUGGAUGGCCAAGCUAAGAGAUGCUCUUGCUAAAGAUGGGAGCCGACAAAUGACGAAUUACCAGAUAACCGCUUAGGUGCUUGAGGAACGAGUGGGGGGCUGGGUGAAAGGGCUUGUAAGUGGAUACAUCAACCCAACAACAUCAUCUUCGAUGGGUGCGGCGGCUCGUGCUGAGAUAGAACGUGUGUGUUGAGAUGCCAAGGCUCAGGCAUAUGAGAUGGUUCAGCGGGUGCACAUAGUAGAGCAGGAGAACCAGGAAUUGAGACACAUAAUGUCUCAUGUCACAGUGUAGAACCAAAGAAUUUGAAAGAAAAGGUGUCCACCGUUGAGGCCAUGCUCGCAGCAGUUAUGAACAGGCAAGCGCAGUUAGAAGAAAUGAUGUGCAAAUGUCAAUCAGAUGAUGUAGGUGGCUCCUUUCAUUAGAAGGAUUUCUUAGGAUCGAGCUUGAGAGCUCGAGAUUUUAUAACAUUUUUGGAAGAUAUAAGAAAAAUGGUAUAUCUUUAUGUUAAUUUUGAUAUGUAUAUUUUAUGUUUUAUAAUUUAUGUUUUAAGUCAGUUAUGAAAGGAUAGUUGUGAAACAUGCUGGUAUUAG